CCUACGGGUGGCAGCAGUAGGGAAUCUUCCACAAUGGGCGAAAGCCUGAUGGAGCAACGCCGCGUGGGUGAAGAAGGUCUUCUGAUCGUAAAACUCCGUUGUUAGAGAAGUAAGUGCGUGAGAGUAACUGUUCACGUUUCGACGGUAUCUAACCAGAAAGCCACGGCUAAUUACGUGCCAGCAGCCGCGGUAAGACGUAGGUGGCAAGCGUUAUCCGGAUUUAUUGGGCGUAAAGGGAACGCAGGCGGUCUUUUAAGUCUGAUGUGAAAGCCUGCGGCUUAACCGGAGUAGUGCAUUGGAUACUGGGAGACUUGAGUGCAGAAGAGGAGAGUGGAACUCGAGGUGUAGCGGUGAAAUGCGUAGAUAUAUGGAAGAACACCAGUGGCGAAAGCGGCUCUCUGGUCUGUAACUGACGCUGAGGUUCGAAAGCGUGGGUAGCAAACAGGAUUAGAUACCCUUGUAGUC
rnacentral:rRNA from 1 species